CCUGCGUCACAGUCUGGAGCCGGUGGGAGGGUCUCUGAUAGUGCAGAGAGCUGGGAAGCUCUUAAGUUUGUGUAGCCUGAGCAGGAUUUAAUUACUGGAGAGUCCUGGGAGCCUCAGGGGCAAUACGGCGUUCGGCAAACUACCUUUGGUCUGGACUGGGUGGUACAGGAAGCCUAGGUUUGGGCUAGGGAGGAAAUGAGGCAGGGUUGGCUUCAGAGACCAAGGGUACCCUAGCGACAUGGGGAUGGGGAGGCACGAUGGUGUAAGGAGGCUCUUGAAUGGUGGAUUCGAGGGGCCUGGGGGACUGAGUGAGUGCGGGGCUGGGGGCAGCGCUGGGCUAGCGUUAGUUCAGAUACUCUGGCCCAGGUGAAAAUGGUGUCGCUUUCCGAGAUGGGGAUGAAGGAGGGGACUGGGCAUUGACAAGUGUAGUUCUAGUCAGGAAAUGGGGUGGCCUUAGAUACUGGACAGCUGCUUUUGUGGGUCAGACGCACACAGAGUGGCACAUGGAGAAGUCACAGGGUCAGUGAGAUUUUCUGGGGGACGGUGGGUGUGGGUGGAACCCUGUGGCGCCGGAAGGGGAGUGAGGAGGAGCGGGAGUAGAGGAAGCCCCCUUGGCUUUCCACACUUUACCUUUGAGCUUGAAGGAGGGUGGGGGACAGCUGCAUUACCCUACCACAGGGCAGGGGCUAUUCAGGGCCUGAUGGUGAGGAACAGGGAUUCAGGACACUCCAGGCCAGGUGUUCCCCACCCUGCAGAUUGCCCCCACACCAAGAAUCAAUAUUAUAUAUGAGAAAGCAAGAGGCAUCUUCUGGACGGCCUGGGUAUAAAGGCACAGCCUGUGAGUGACAACACAUGAUGGCAAAAAGACCAGAACCCACUCAGACACAGGCUUGUGACCUUUGCAAGUCACGUAACUCUCUCAGAUCGUGGUUACUCAUCUGUUAAAUAGAGAUGAUACCAACCUGUUAGGGACAUGGAGAGAAGGGAGGCACUUAGAGCGGUGCAAGACACAAAGUACAGGACAUACCUCUGUCCAAUCCUGAGAAAAACAUCAAACAAAUCCCAGUGGAGGAACAUUCUACAAAAUACCUGACCCAGUAAGCCUCAAAAUUGUAGGAUCCCUUUGGAUCCAAGAAGAGCGACAGAGAGGUAAGGUCUAAGCUCACUUUUUAAGUGGGGAGAAGACUACAACCAGCAUCUACUAUUUGCCAGUUGCUUAGUGAUGGCUCUGGAGAGUCGACCCUGUCCCCAUUGUGAUCAGCAACUGCUCCUCAAAGUAGAGGAGCUGGUCUACU